CCAAAGUAAAAAUAUUUAUUUAAUGAACGAAAGAUGUGGUUAAUUGGUUUUUGAAAGGAUAUUGCUUCCUGUUCCUUGAGACUGAAAGAAGCCUUUGAACAAAACCAUUACUAGAGAUAGAGCUCUGGAAACGGUUAUCUGGGGUUAAAGAAGGACAGAAAACAGCAUGAGCCACAGGAGACAACGCCGUCUUCCCCUUGGGGCCCGAGGAAGGUGGACUCCAGGGUGACGUGAUGCCAGCGGAGGAGCCCACCUCCAGAAAGUGUGCUCUUGGGCCUGCUGCGGAGGCUGGUGACAAGAUGAACGCAGCCGGGGCCCCUGGAGCCGCCCAAGUCCCACGGGCCAACCUCCGUCCCCCCUGCGUGAGCGAUGACAUCCUAGGUCGCUGGAGACGGGUUUGCAGGUUCCUGGGGUGGCUGGGGAGACUUAACACUUUCCAGCUCUGCCGAGGUCUGACAUGGGAGUGGGGGGGGUGUGUGGUUGGCAGGACCAGGGUCCCUCCACAGGGGCUCCGGGUUCCCUGGCUCACCGCUUGGUCCCGACCGCUCUGCCUCCGUUGUCGUGUGGGGCCAUGUGUGUGUCUCCCGUCUUAUAAGGAUGCCUUUGAUUGCGUUUAGGCCCAGCCUAGAUAACACAGGAUAACCUGUAAGGUAAUGUCCAGAGCUUCGCAUGGAUUCUUUGAGUUAAAAGGGCACAUUUUUUGCUUCUGAAAGUUUUCCCCAAAUAGCAAGUCCACACUCUCCAGCAAACUGUGAGCGGCUUAAAGAGAAUGCUCUCCUUCCGCUUGGGUUUUGUUUCUCCGAAAUGACCGAGCUUCGGUCUGCACUCUGGGAGUCUCCGUGUUGAGUGUUCAUCUCAGCUGCUGACAGUCAUAAAUGACAAGCACAGGAGGGACAGAGAGCAGGAGUCUCACCAACCUCGUAGCUGGGAAACCAGGUAAGUUUCAGGUUCUGCUUGUGCUUCAGCCGGGUGGCUCCAUCAUCUACAAAACGUCCGGACUUGGCCAGGCUGGACCCACACUCACACCCACGCUCCAGCCCCGGGGCAGGUGCGUGAUGGCCCACCCCAGCCGGCUCCUGCUCUCUGUCUGAGCCUCGGGCACCUGGGGUCCCUCCCUCCCCGCUGC
rnacentral:lncRNA from 9 species